UUUUCUUCUCAUUUUGUCUGUCAUAGUUGAAGAAGUGUACCUAUGAUAAAUUACAGGCCUCUCAUAUUUUUAAGUGGGAGAACUUGCACAAUUGGUGGCUGACUAAAUACUUUUUUGCCCCACUGUAUGUGUAUAUAACUCAACAAAAAAAGAGAAGUUCCUUUUUCAGGACACUGUCUUUCAAAGAUAAUUUGUAAAAAUCCAAAUAACUUCACAGAUCUUCAUUGUAAAGGGUUUAAACACUUUCCCAUGCUUGUUCAAUGAACCAUAAACAACAUGCACCUGUGGAACGGUCGUUAAGACACUAACAGCUUACAGAUGGUAGGCAAUUAAGGUCACAGUUAUGAACACUUAGAAUAUUAAAAGAGGCCUUUCUACUGACUCUAAAAAACACCAAAGGAAAGAUGCCCAGGGUCCCUACUCAUCUACGUGAACGUGCCUUAGGCAUGCUGCAAGGAGGCAUGAGUACUGCAGAUGUGGCCAGGACAAUAAAUUGCAAUGUCCGUACUGUGAGACGCCUAAGACGGCGCUACAGGGAAACAGGACAGACAGCUGAUUGUCCUCGCAGUGGCUGAGAGAGGCUGGACUGAGGGAUUGUAGGCCUGUUGUAGGCAGGUGCUCACCAGACAACCGGCAACAACGUCGCGUAUGUGCACAAACCCGCCGUCGCAGGAACAGACAGGACUGGCAAAAAGUGCUCUUCACUGACGAGUUGCAGUUUUUCGUCGAAGAAAUUAGCGAUACACCGAGAGCCUGUACUCUGGAGUGGAAUCGAUUUUGGAGGUGGAGGGUCCAUCAUGGUCUGGGGCGGUGUGUCACAGCAUCAUCGGACUGAGCUGGGACACAUUAUUCAAUUUCUGUUAGUCACAUGUCUGUGGAAUUUGUCCAGUUUGUCUCAGUUGUUGAAUCUUGUUAUGUUCAUACAAAUAUUUCCACCUGUUAAAUUGGCUGUAGUAUCAUUUCUAUUGCUAUCUACAGUACCUGUACUAUUAGUUCAUGUAUUUCCCUUGUUAGUCUCGUCUCUUUAGACAGAAACUGCUUUUUAUUAUUGAUGAAUAUUGAAUGGAAUGACCUCCUGAAGGUACAUUUUAAAGGUAUCCCAAACAAUAAGUGGAUUUGCUGAAUCUCUACUGUACUGGGAAAAAUUCAGUUAGUAAUGAUUUUGUCUUAGUUAAGAACAUAUUGUCCUCCAGUAGACUUUGAUUAAAUGUCCAAUAUCCCCGUCCAUGUGGAAAUUCUGUAAGAGUUAUGUGAAGGCCAAUUAGAUGAUGAUCCGAUUCUCUCUCCUAUCAAUACUAAUUUAACGUUUGAUUGAUGCAAAAUCGAAAGAGACAAGAACGUAGUCAAGAUGACUAGCUUGAUUAAGUCUCCUCCAUGUGUAUCUCAUUAGGUAAGUAAGGGUUUCUUAGUUUCCAAAUAUCCCCUCUUUCUUAAUGUGUCCAUAAUAUUUGUGAUAUCCUUGAGAGCACGGUGAUGAUAGUUAGUACAGUGAUUUCCUUUACGGUCCAUUGAGUCUCCCACCAUAAUGAUUUGGUGUAAAUAUUUUCAAAGAAUUAUAGAUCAUCCUGAUUUGGACCAUAUAGAUUAUAUGAGCCAAAUCUAUUUUUCAUUGACUUUAAUUUUUAAAAGGAUCCAUCUUCCUUGCGAAUCAUUCCUGACUAUUUGCACAUUCGGAUCAACAUUUUUGUUAAUUAAUAUCACACCUUUUGAGCUCCUUUGUCCAUGACAGAAAAUGUUCACCACCCUGUUCCUUUUUCCACGCAACUUCAUCUAAUAUGUUAUAUUCCUUUUAGCUACGUAAAGACUGAUCUUUUUUCUUAUGUGCUAAGCCUUUACAAUUAUAACUGGCUAUACUUAUUUCACACCUUACCAUAACUAGGUACUAUUCUCAGUCUACAUUUACCAUAAUUAGUGCUUGUAAAGUUACUGCCAUUAGAGGUAUGAUAUUUUUUUUAUUUUACCUUUAUUUUACUAGGCAAGUCAGUUAAGAACAAAUUCUUAUUUUCAAUGACGGCCUAGGAACUGGGUUAACUGCCUGUUCGGGGGCAGAACGACAGAUUUGUACCUUGUCAGCUCGGGGAUUCGAACUUGCAACCUUCCGGUUACUAGUCCAACGCUCUAACCACUAGGCUACCCUGCCGCCCCAUUUCAAAUGUCAGAUGUUUAGAAUUCAAGAAAGAGGUUCUAGCUAUAUAUUUUUUUAUUCCCUUGCCUGUGAGCCAAUGCCACAGAUGUUAGAAAAUUAAGUCAAGAUAUUAUGUGUGUAGUAGUUGUGAUAUUGGAUGUGAGAGUGUGUAUGAAUUCUGGAUAAGAGUAAGAAUAUAUAAUGUGUGAUGUCUGAAUAAAUAAUAACCCGGCCAAUUUCUGUGGCUGAGUGUAUGUGUGUAACAUGAAGUGAGUAUUGCCUUAAUAUUCAGGAUAAUAAUUGUAAUCUAUAUCAUAUCACCAGCAUAGUUGCAUCAUUAUACAGCAUUUCCAUAGCAAUUGCCGUUUCACAUGAUUAUGAGAGACCUUUGCUUUGCUAUAGAGACGGCUUCACUACAUUACAAAUGCUUUUCACUGUAAGGUCUACCUACACCUAUUGUAUUCUGUGCAUGUGACAAAUAAAAUUUGAUUUGAAC
ensembl:lncRNA